AGCCACCGCAGCCACUGCUGCAGCCACCGCAGCCACCACAACUUCCACAGCCACAGCACCCCAUGGUGUCAGGAGAGUAAGGACUCAGGAGAGUUUGCAUCGAGCAGUCUUCAAGCGCAAGGAUGACCAGCACAGGAGUCUCCCGGGAUGAAAGCUCAUGCAUUCUCCUCCCAAGGUGAAAGGUACUACACAGCAGUACACGGUGGCCGGCUGGACGGCUCUGUAGCAGGGAGUGAGACUUUCAUUCUUU